GCGACAGGACGGAAAGACCCCAUGGAGCUUUACUGUAGCUUGACAUUGGGUCUUGGUACUACAUGUACAGGAUAGGUGGGAGGCUUUGAAACCAGGACGCCAGUUUUGGCGGAGCCAUCCUUGGGAUACCACCCUUGUAGUACUGGGACUCUAACCAUAGGCCAUGAAUCUGGUCUUGGGACACUGUCAGGUGGGCAGUUUGACUGGGGCGGUCGCCUCCCAAAAGGUAACGGAGGCGCUCAAAGGUUCUCUCAGUACGGUCGGAAAUCGUACGUAGAGUGUAAAGGCAAAAGAGAGCUUGAUUGCAAGACAUACAGGUCGAGCAAGGAUGAAAAUCGGACUUAGUGAUCCGGUGGUUCUGCGUGGAAGGGCCAUCGCUCAACGGAUAAAAGCUACCCUGGGGAUAACAGGCUUAUCUCCCCCAAGAGUCCACAUCGACGGGGAGGUUUGGCACCUCGAUGUCGGCUCAUCACAUCCUGGGGCUGUAGUAGGUCCCAAGGGUUGGGCUGUUCGCCCAUUAAAGUGGUACGCGAGCUGGGUUCAGAACGUCGUG
rnacentral:rRNA from 1 species